rnacentral:lncRNA from 1 species
UCGAGUGUGUAUUGCAGUUUAAACAGCCAGUGGUACAGGGACAGAGGGAAAGGGUGAAGAAAGACCAUGCAGACGUCAGAGCUGGUCCAGUGAACGUGAGCGCCUGCCAGUGCUGGCUCAGCUCUAAAUGAGUUACUGCUCUCUCAGCGCCUGCCAUGGGAAGCCAGCUGCUCAGGGAGCACUGUGGUUUUGUAUUCAGACAGAAGGGGACAAGCUCAUGCAUACAUCUGGAUACGGAGACAGGCCAGCUUCACCCUCUCUAACUAAGUGAACACCACGGCCUUGACAGAACUAGCUGGAAUUCUAAUCACUAGGGCUGGCAUAAUAGACAGAUGGAUUGCAGCUCACAACUCACCUCAAAAGACAGAAUGUAAAAGACUCAAGUAUUCAUCAACACUGGGAUACAUGGAACUCCAACUUGUUCUGUUUGUGAGUCUGACCUUGAACUUGCUCUUUUCAGUCCUUAUGCUACAGUGAGGUUUCCAAGAGUGACAGUUCAUCUCAACUGUCAACUUGAUGAGAUCUAGAAUGCCCUGGGAGAUAUGCCUCUGGGCAUGCUUUUUGGUAGUUAUCUUGAUGAGGUUUAUUAAGAGGGAAAGAAGCAACCACUGUGGAUGGUGUCACCCCUUCCACUGAGAUCCUGAACUGUGUGAAAUGCACCAUGAGCUGAGAAGAGCCAUCCACUUUUCUCUGCUUCCUGAAUGUGAACAUUUGGCUUGCUGCUUCAGGCUCCUGCUGCCUUGACAGGCAGCUUCAGCUGCUGCCGUGACUUCCCUGCUGUGAUGGACUAUACCGUGGAAAUUCAAGCUGCAAGAAACUCUUUUAAGGCGCUUUUGUCAGGUUAUUUCUUUUUCACAGCAACAGGAGAAGAAAUUAAGAACCAAGUGUGUAUGCCACCAAUCAAAAGAGGUGUCUGGGAAACAAGAGGAAUGUAGGUCAAGAUGGAUGUAGAAUAGAUCUUGAAGCAUAGUCCAAGAAAUCCUGCUUAGACUGUUUUAAAAGAAGGAAGAGUUGCCUUGGUCCUGGUGUCUCUUCAUAGCAAUGGAAAUCCUAACACACACACACACACACACACACACACACACACACCACAUAUAUACAGAGAGAGAGAGAGAGAGAGAGAGAGAGAGAGAGAGAGAGAGAGAGAGAGAGAGACAGGCAGACAGACAGGCAGACAGUCAGAUGAUAGGUAGAUAUAUUGUAUAAACAAACCUACAUACUUCUGUUUCUCAAGAGAGUUGACUAUGAUAUGACACAGUUUAUUAUCAACACACACUCUAGGAUGGAGGCCAUCAUGAUGCUAUUAACCACAGAAACACUAAAAGACCAAUUAUUCUGAAGAAACAUCAACAUGUACUUCAAAAUUAUUAUGAGAAAAGGAAAAUGCCUGUCUACUAGGAUUUAACUCACACAGUGGCAGUUGGGGUGGCCACAGUCACAAUGAAAAUCAUCACUUUGUAGUUAAAGCAAAUUGAUGUUCCAAUUAGGUCUGAUUGAUUUAUUUACUUACUUAAGAUAAAACCUCACUCUGCAACAUAAACUGGCCUGGCAUUCACUGUGUAUGAUAGGUUGGCCUUGAACCCGAGGCAGUACUCAUAUUUCUGCCUUCCACAUCAGUUAAUCUCCCUCAUUUCCAUUUCCGUUUCAUGUGCCUAUACCAAAUAGGAAACUAGAAUUCUAAUAUGCUGGUUCUAUUAGCAACAAGGAUUUGUAGAGUUAAAGAAUUACAGUUUUAUAAAGGAAAAAAGCUAAGGUCAGUGAAGCAGACAGAAUAGUUUCAUAAUGAGUCUUUUGUUGUUGUUAUUUAAUUUUAAACUAAGGCAUGUAUGUGUUAAAAUGAACUAGAAAUGGAACUGAAAAGUUCAACAUUAAAGAUUACCUUAUUUAUGCAAUGUGGUAAAUACUGCCUUUAAUCAAUCUAAGGAACAGAACAGUCUUCGGAACUGGUUGUUAGGCAAAUACAAUUAAUAA